CGCGGGAUUAGAGUUUGAUCAUGGCUCAGAUUGAACGCUGGCGGCAGGCCUAACACAUGCAAGUCGAGCGGUAACAUGUCUAGCUUGCUAGAUGAUGACGAGCGGCGGACGGGUGAGUAAUGCUUGGGGAUCUGCCUUAGAGUGGAGGAUAACCAUUGGAAACGAUGGCUAAUACUGCAUAGUAUCUGCGGAUUAAAGGGGGCUUCGGCUCUUGCUUUAAGAUGAACCCAAGUGGGAUUAGCUAGUUGGUGAGGUAAUGGCUCGCCAAGGCGACGAUCCCUAGCUGGUCUGAGAGGAUGAUCAGCCACACUGGAACUGAGACACGGUCCAGACUCCUACGGGAGGCAGCAGUGGGGAAUAUUGCACAAUGGGCGAAAGCCUGAUGCAGCCAUGCCGCGUGUGUGAAGAAGGCCCUAGGGUUGUAAGGCACUUUCAGUCAGGAGGAAAGGUUAGUAGUUAAUACCUGCUAGCUGUGACGUUACUGACAGAAGAAGCACCGGCUAACUUCGUGCCAGCAGCCGCGGUAAUACGAGGGGUGCAAGCGUUAAUCGGUAUUACUGGGCGUAAAGCGUUCGUAGGCGGUUGAAUAAGCAAGAUGCGAAAGCCCAGGGCUCAACCUUGGAACUGCAUUUUGAACUGUUCGACUAGAGUACUGUAGAGGGGGGUAGAAUUUCA
rnacentral:rRNA from 1 species